CCUACGGGUGGCACCAGUGGGGAAUAUUGGACAAUGGGCGAAAGCCUGAUCCAGCAAUGCCGCGUGUGUGAAGAAGGUCUUCGGAUCGUAAAGCACUUUCGACGGGGACGAUGAUGACGGUACCCGUAGAAGAAGCCCCGGCUAACUUCGUGCCAGCAGCCGCGGUAAUACGAAGGGGGCUAGCGUUGUUCGGAAUUACUGGGCGUAAAGCGCGCGUAGGCGGAUAGAUAAGUCAGAGGUGGAAUCCCGGGGCUCAACCCCGGAAUUGCCUUUGAUACUGUUUAUCUUGAGCGCAGAAGAGGUAAGUGGAAUUCCGAGUGUAGAGGUGAAAUUCGUAGAUAUUCGGAGGAACACCAGUGGCGAAGGCGGCUCACUGGUCUGCAACUGACGCCGAGGCGCGAGGGCGUGGGGAGCAAACAGGAUUAGAUACCCGGGUAGUC
rnacentral:rRNA from 1 species